rnacentral:tRNA from 1 species
AGGGGCUUAGGAUAGUACCUAAACCAAGAGCCUUCAAAGCCCUAAUCGGGAGUGAGAAUCUCCCAGCCCCUG